rnacentral:lncRNA from 1 species
UUUUUUAUUUAUUUUUAGUAAAGACGGGGUUUCGCCAGGUUGGCCAGGCUUGUCUUGAACUCCUGACCUCAAGUAAUCCACCUGCCUCCACCUCCCAAAAUGCUGGGAAUACAGGCAUGAGCCACUGUGCCUGGCCCCAUUAUUAACUUAUUAUUAAUUUGCCCAGACUUGAGGUUCCCUCCUCCACACAUUUUUUUCUUCACAGCAGCCCUAUCCUUCGGAUGCUUUGUUGCUGUUUCUUUUUCAUAGAUAGAGAAACUUCACAGUAGAGAGCUCAAGAAACUGCCCAAACACAACUAGUAAGUGACUUACUUAGCUGAGUUUCAAACACAUGUCGCUCUGACUCUAAAGUGUUUUCUUUUCCUACCAUACGCCCUACUGUAUUUCUACGAAAAUGCCACUCUAGGAAAGUGAAACAAUGUGCUAAAUGGAGGUGUUUUGCAUUGUCACUCUGUCCUCGGCAGAAAUUGGCCAGCAAGUUUACAGGUUUGUCAAGGGUCUCUGGGAACGUGGAUAGGACCAGGGCAUCAAGUCAUCCUGCUGCUGGCCUGGCAAGAGGACCAGGCCCAGGUUGUCUAGAAGCUGUGCCAACUUAAGUCAAGUUAAAAAGAGGGGGCCAGGGUUCCGCUCUGUGUUAUGCCAUUUGAGAUUAGAAAUUUCCUUAUUAAGAGCUCAUUCCUGCCAAUUUGAUUCUAGGAGUUGUUCUGUGAUAAAGGCUCCAGGGGCCCAUUAAUGAGCUGAAAUCAAUAUUGAGCUUUUACAGCUUGGGCGAGAGAUGUCUGCUGAAAGUGGAAUCAAAACCUGACAGGAGAUCAUUAAAUGUUACAGAUAUUCUUAAACUGUUCCUAACCAUUUCAUCAGUUGAGUGAUCGUGACAACAGCAAUAGUCCCUGAUACGAUGGUUGCACUUCCAGCCUGUCUCUCUUCUCAGACAUUCUAUUUGAUUGUGAAUUCCAAACUGCCAUUUACUGGGCAGAAGCUGGCACAGAGACCCCGGGAGGUACCCAGCAGGCAGAUGGUUUUACAGUCUGGGGAAGUGGAGGGUGGUUGG